AUAGACCGCUGGCGGCAGGCCUAACACAUGCCAGUCGCGUGAGCGGCGGACGGGUGAGUAAUGUACGGGGACUGACUGAUAGAGGGGGAUAACUACUGGAACAGGUGGCUAAUACCGCAUACUAUCGGAUAACCCAUAUGGGAUUAGCCAGGAUGUGGGGUAAAGGCUCACCUAGGCGACUAUCCCUAGCUGGUCGGAGAGGAUGAUCAGCCCCACUGGGACUGAGACACGGCCCAGACUCCUACGGAGGCAGCAGUGAGGAAGAUUGCACAAUGGGCGCAACACUGAUGCAGCCAUCCCGCGUGUAUGAAGAAGGCCUUAGGGUUUUAAAGUACUUUCAGCGGGGAGGCGUUACCCGCAGAAGAAGCACCGGCUAACUCCGUGCCAGCAGCCGCGGUAAUUC
rnacentral:rRNA from 1 species